CGGCUGGGGGCUUUAUUAGGGGGCACCGGGGUCUGCUUUCCGACUCCCUUCCGACUCCGCGCCUGCGCAGGAAGCGAUUUGGGGAGUGUUGUGAAUUCCGAGGGCUCCACACUUAAGAGGUUGUACACUCACCUGUCUACCUGGACUCCAAUUUCCAUAUUUCCAGCCACUUGAGGACUGAGAGGUGGAUGAUAAACCCUGUCAUAGUGGAGCAAGUUCAGGUGUUUAACCGCUGUUAUGGGGGAUCUGCCUUUUCUCCCUCUUCUUUCUUACUUCCAUAAGUAUGUAUGUGCAGAGAUUGAAAAAUAACCUUGAGAGAGUCCAUCCAUCUAACUCCAGGGAGUCGUGCUCUGUCACCCAGGCUGGAGUGUAGUGGCGCGAUCUCUGCUCUGCUCAUUGCAACCUCUGCCUCCCUGGUUCAAGCAAUUCUUCUGCCUCAGCCUCCCAAGUAGCUUGGAUUACAGGCGCCCGCCACCACACCCAGCUAAUUUUUGUAUUUUUAGUAGAGACGGGGUUUCACCGUGUUGGCCAAGCUGGUCUCGAACUCCUGACCUCGUGAUCCGCCCACCUUGUCCUCCCAAAGUGCUGGGAUUACAGGCGUGAGCCACCGCGCCCGGCCAAUAAGCUUUUUUCUUAAAAAGUACUCAGAAGACUUUUCUAUCCAUUCAUUCUGUUAACGCGCGUCAGUGUGAAGAGACCACCAAACAGGCUUUGGGUGAGCAAUAAAGCUUUUAAUCAUGUGGGUGUAGGCCGACUUAGUUCGAAAAAGGAGUCAGCAAAGGGAGAUAGGGGUGAGGCAGUCUUUAUAGGAUUUGGGUAGGUAGUGGAAAAUUACAGUUAAAGGGGGUUUUUCUCUUGCGGGCAGGGGUGGGGGUCACAAGGUGCUCAGUGGGGAGCUCCUGAGACUCAUUGUCCAGGAGAAGGAGUGUCACAAGGUCCAUUGAUCAGUUAGGGAAGGGCAGGAACAAAUCGCAAUCGUGGAAUGUCAUCAGUUAAGGUAGGAACUGGCUAUUUUCACUUUUGUGGUUCUUCAGUGGCUUCAGGCCAUCUGGAUGUAUACGUGCAGGUCACAGGGUAUAUGAUGGCUUAGCUUGGGCUCAGAGGCCUGACAUGUUUAUCCAGUCAAUUAAUUAAAAACCUGAGUCCUAGAAAAAGAGAACAAAAAAUAAACAGGGAAGAAAUGAUCAAAAUAAUAAUUUAAAAAUUUUUGCUAGGGCAGGAGUCUUCAUAUUUAAAGGGCCCACCAAGUAAAAAGACCUACAUUAAGGCACAUACAUCAUUAAAAGGGUGAGAACACUAACACUAAAGGGAAGAUUCUAAACGUUUUCAGAGGGCGGAAACAAAAAUUAAAGAGAUGGGAAUUAGAAUGGCAUUGAAUUUCUUAACAAUGUUACUAAGUCAUUGUUAUCCUGAAAUAUAAUGAAGUGAAAUUUUUCCAAUAUUCUGAAGGACAGUAACUUCCAACUUAGAAUUCUAUAGUCAAACUUUCCGUCAAAUGUAAGGGCAGAAUAAAAACAUUUUCACA
rnacentral:lncRNA from 1 species